GUAGUGCGAAAAUACGAUGCAGAACUCAUUCCGAGGCUCUGCAAUCGGAAUGAGAACACUCUAAAUCAUUUAACGAGUAUCCAUUGGAGGACAAGUCUGGUGCCAGCACCCGCGGUAAUUCCAGCUCCAAUAGCGUAUAUUAAAGUUGUGCGGUUAAAAAGCUCGUAGUGGAUCUGUGUUUCACGCUGUCGGUUCACCGUUUUGUCGGUGUCUAACUGACAUGUCGUGGUACGUCCUGCCGGUUGGCGACGUGGCGUCUCCCUUAACCGGGUUGCGUUCGCGUUUGCCAGUUCCAAUCCUGUCGCGGUGCUCUUAACCGAGUGUCGAGGCGGGCCGGCACGUUUACCUUGAACAAAUUUGAGUGCUUAAAGCAGGCUCUAUCGCCGGAAAACUGUGUGCAUGGAAUAAUAUAAUAGGACCGCGGUUCUAUUUUGUUGGUUUUCAGAGUCCGAGGUAAUGAUUAGUAGGGACCGGCGGGGGCAUUAGUAUUGCGACGUUAGAGGUGAAAUUCUUGGAUCGUCGCAAGACUAACCUAAGCGAAAGCAUUUGCCAAGGAUGCUUCCAUUAAUCAAGAACGAAAGUUAGAGGUUCGAAGGCGAUCAGAUACCGCCCUAGUUCUAACCAUAAACGAUGCCAGCCAGCGAUCCGGCGAAGUUCCUUCGAUGACUCGCCGGGCAGCUUCCGGGAAACUAAAGCAUUUGGGUUUCCGGGGGAAGUAUGGUUGCAAAGCUGAAACUUAAAGGAAUUGACGGAAAGGCACCACCAGGAGUGGAGCCUGCGGCUUAAUUUGACUCAACACGGGAAAUCUCACCAGGCCAGAACACCAGGUGGAUUGACAGAUUGAGAGCUCUUUCUUGAUUUGUGGGUGGUNGGCAUGCCG
rnacentral:rRNA from 1 species